GGAAAUAAACGUCCAUCAUUGAAUUCGUUAGUAAACCGAUCUAUUUAGCGACAUUUAGCGAGUAUUCAACUUCUCGUUUCCAGCCUUGUCAUAAAUGCCAUGCUUACUUUACAUGCUAAAAAGGUUACAGAUACAUGUUCAAAGAUCUUGUGUGUUGGAAAAUUUGACUUCCUUCUGGAGGUACGUAGUUCAGGGAUUUUAGUUAAAGCAGGGAGUUCCAACUCCCUGGUUAAAGCAGGGAGGUGAGACAAGGGACAGAGAUGUAAGAUAUAAAACAGUGUGGUCGUUGGGAAUUCGAUUGGAUAUAAACAUUAGGAAAGCUAUGAACUUGACUGUGGUCUUUCCCGGUAUAUUCUAUGUGAGGUUGGAACAAGGGACGCCUAUUUAGUAAGAACUGUAUGUGUGUUGUCGCUGUUUUAAUCGCUUAAUACAAACUAUAUAAUAAAAACAUUAACAG